rnacentral:lncRNA from 1 species
GCGGCUUCCGCUCGGUGGUUCCUUCCCGCACGCAGCUACGGGUUUCGGUGCUGCGCCGGUUAAGCCGGCACCAGAAACAACCUGCGACCCCACCUGGCGUGCGUCUUCCAGCACAGGGAAACGGGAUGGAAGUCAGAAGGGUCGACCACAAGGAGCUCUUACUGUGCAUCAGUUCAUCCUGGAAAGUUUCAGAACUGUUGCUCCUGGCAGACACUUCGUGGACACGCAUACUCACCAUGCCUCCUUCCUGCUGACAACUGGGGACUUAAGUCACAACCUGCAGACUAGCACAGAGAAAUGUCUGACUCUUCAGUUGAGUUCAACAAAUGCUUAUUGAGCACCUCCUAAGUACCAGGCACUGUUGAUACAAAGUGAGAAGCAGAACUGGCAGCAUUAUUCAAGGAAAAAGGGAAGAUCCAGAUAUGAUUUUACCAGAGUCAAGAACUUGGAAGACAUGAAAGAAUAAAAUAAGUCUGCUCAAGUACAUAAUAAGCUUGGUCUUGUGGACUUCUUAGUGAAGUCUGUGCUUCUGCAUUGAGUUUUAAAGAUUUAAGAAGAUCCUUGGCCUGGAGCAGUGGCUUACGCCUGUAAUCCCAGCACUUUGGGAGGCUGAGGCAGGCGGAUCACCUGAGGUCAGGAGUUUGAGACCAGCCUGGCCAACAUGGAGAAACCCUGUCUCUAUAAGAAUACAAAAAUUAGUUGGGCAUGAUGGCAGGUGCCUGUAAUCCCAGCUACUCGGGAGAAUGAGGCGGGAGAAUCACUUGAACCCAGGAAGCAGAUGCUGCAGUAAGCUGAGAUUGCGCCAUUGCACUCCAGCCUGGGCGACAGAGCAAGACUCCAUCUCAAAAAAAAAAAAAAAAGAAGAUGAUCCUACCUGGUUUUCCUGAUUCUGAUUCUCAUUCACAGGAAGAACAUAAAGGAACCUGUAAGCUACUAUACAAUCCUACAGAGACUCAGAGACUCAUGCAAGCAGAGUUGCAUUUGGGUGACUAAUCAGUGCUAGACGCUGGAAAAAGAAGCCAGACACCCUAUCUGGCUCCAACUUGUGUCAUAGCUGGACAAAGACAUUAAAUGAAUCAUUUCAAAUAUGGGAGUUACAAAACUGCAAGUAUGGGGUGCUACAGAAUGUAAAGCACAGGGGACCUAAUAUAGUCUGGGUCCCCUUUAGACGUGUGAAAGGGAAAAGAAGAGAGACAAAAUGAACAUACAAAAGGAAUCAAGCUCAGUACUUUGGAGGAAUAAAGGAAACAUAGUAAUGCCCAAGUAUUAAACACCAGAAAUGAGACAUAAAAGCCUGAGGCAAGCCAGUUCAAACAGAACCCUAAAAAACAUUUUAAGGACUUUACCCUAAAGUGAAGAGAAAGCCAUAAUAAGGAUUUGAAACAGUUUGAUAGAAUACAUGACAUGAUUAGAUCCACUGUUUUAAGGAAACAUAUUCCUCUGUCUACAGCAACAGAUAAUCUGCGUAGUGGUGAGGAGUGGGAGGGCAAGGUGAAGGCUUGAAGAUCCCUUGUGAGGCUAUUUCAGUAGUCCAGUAUGGGGACUGGAUUAAGAGAAAGGUUCAACCAGAAUGAAUGAAUAUUGGUGGGAAGGGUGAGAGAGGGAGAUGUCAAGGAUAAUUAGGCAGUUUUGGGAGAUGACAGUGAUCUUUAGUGACACUGGUACACUGGUCUGGAAAGGAAUAAGUUAUCUUUAGUCUCAAAUAUCCAAACAGAAAGUAGAACAGGGCAUACACAGCUGAAAGAGAGGAGAGAGGUGUGGCCUGAAGAGUUUUAGACAUAAAAAAAGUACUUGAAAUCACAGGAGUAACAGAUAAAAUCUUUAAAGCAAUGUGGCUAGGAAAACUCCAACAGUGAGUCUAAACACUUAAAAGAUCUCUAAUCCCAGCAAGGUGAGGUAGCUCACACUUGUAAUCCUAGCACUUUAGGAGGCCAAGGUGGGAAGAUCACUUUAGGCCAGAAGUUUGAAACCAGCCUAGGCAACAUAGAAAACUUCACCUCUACAAAAAAAAACAAAAAUUAAGUUGGGUGUAGUGGUGUGUACCUAUAGUCAUAGCUACUAAGGCGGGAGGAUCACUUGAGUCCAGGAGUUCGAGGCUGCAGUGAGCUAUUAAUAUGAUUGCAUUGGCCGGGUGUGGUGGCUCAUGCCUGUAAUCCCAGCACUUUGGGAGGCUGAGGCAGGUGGAUUACUUGAAGUUGGAAGUUCGAGACCAGCCUGACCAACAUGGAGAAACC